UGCUAAUGUAUAAUAUUAAUAGAAUUGGGAUAUACUCGUAUGUAUAACACAGUGCAGUGCAAAAUAUAAUGCUGUAAUUAGUCUUGCCGUCUGUGUUGGAUCUUUAUUAAGUAGACACAAUAAUUUAGCAAAGCAGUACUUAUCUGUGUACAUCCGUCGACCGAUUAUCUCAUACGUUAUUGCAAAUGUUUGUUAUAGUCCAACUAUAUGAGGAGUGAGUAUAUAUGUAUAUACUAACAAGCCAUUUCAAUGCUGUUAAGUAUAAUUAAUACAGUGUCUUGGAAUAGUUCACACACACAAAAAGUUUCAAUAGACUAUUAUGAGCCCCGCAGUUAUCACUAUAUUCAUCUUAUUAAAUAUUAAAUAAUCAUGUAAUGUCGAAAAACGAACUUAACAAAAAGACAUUCUAUAAAUAAAACUAUAUGCAUAAAACGAAAAGAAAUUAAUAUAAAAAACAUUAAUUAACACAAUCAUAAAAUUAC
rnacentral:misc_RNA from 1 species